rnacentral:rRNA from 1 species
CCUACGGGUGGCCGCAGUGAGGACUAUUGGUCAAUGGACGAGAGUCUGACCCAGCCACGUAGCGUGACGGAUGACUGCCCUAUGGGUUGUAAACUUCUUUUAUAAAGGACUAACACGAUGCAAGUGUGCCUUUUUGCAUGUCCUUUAUGAAUAAGGAUCGGCUACCUCCGUGCCAGCAGCCGCGGUAAUACGGAGGAUCCGGGCGUUAUACGGAUUUAUUGGGUUUCAAGGGAGCGUAGAUGGGUUGUUAAGUCAGUUGUGAACGUGUGCGGCUCAACCGUAAAAUUGAAAUUGAUAGUGGCAUCCUUGAUUACAGUUGGGGUAGGCGGAAUUCGUGGUGUAGCGGUGAAAUGCUUAGAGAGCACGAAGAACUCCGAUUGCGAAGGCAGCCUACUAAACUGCCACUGACAUUGAUGCUCGAAAGUGUGGGUAUCAAACAGGAUUAGAUACCCCUGUAGUC